AAUGGCACCAUGAGGAUAUUACGAUAUGUGCAAAAUUGAGGUCUAAAGAUCAUUGAAAACCAAAAACUUCAAGUCCUUUUCAUUCUGAGUGCCAU